rnacentral:tRNA from 1 species
GCAUCCGUGGUUUAGUGGUAAAAUCGUUGCUUGCCAUGCAAUGGCCCCGGAUUCGAUUUCCGGCGGAUGCA